ensembl:lncRNA
AAUGUGGAGGAUAUAUACAGGGGGUACCGGUACAGAGUCAAUGUGGAGGAUAUAUACAGGGGGUACCGGUACAGAGUCAAUGUGGAGGCUAUAUACAGGAGGUACUGGUACAGAGUCAAUGUGGAGGCUAUAUACAGGGGGUACCGGUACAGAGUCAAUGUGGAGGCUAUAUACAGGGAGUACCGGUACAGAGUCAAUGUGGAGGAUAUAUACAGGGGGUACUGGUACAGAGUCAAUGUGGAGGAUAUAUACAGGGGGUACUGGUACAGAGUCAAUGUGGAGGUUAUAUACAGGGGGUACCGGUACAGAGUCAAUGUGGAGGUUAUAUACAGGGGGUACCGGUACAGAGUCAAUGUGGAGGAUAUAUACAGGGGGUACCGGUACAGAGUCAAUGUGGAGGCUAUAUACAGGGGGUACCGGUACAGAGUCAAUGUGGAGGCUAUAUACAGGGGGUACCGGUACAGAGUCAAUGUGGAGACUAUAUACAGGGGGGUACUGGUACAGAGUCAAUGUGGAGGCUAUAUACAGGGGGU